GCCGCAGAAUAAACCAUUUACAAAGGUUGACCUCGGAUCAGGUGGGGAUACCCG
rnacentral:rRNA from 1 species